UCUCCCCCAUUUUUGUUUCCCUCUUUUCCCUAAGCCCUAAGCAUGAUACUCUGCGCCGCCCCCCUCAAACAUCAUCGGUGACUCCACCUCUUUUCCAUCUCCUCCGCAUUCACGACCAUCUCUAUAUAUGAAUCUCCAUAAAACCCUUAAAUUCUAUAUAAAUGGAAAAUGAAGUAGUCAUCGAUUCUUCCUCCAUCGAAGUAAAAAUCAGUUGCUUGGAUCUUCCUUUUGGCGCAGAAUAUCUCAGAAUCAAUUUUUGGGAUCUUCCUCACCCUCUGGUUUCGAUCUCUUCUAUUUGUGGCAUGUAAAUUUUAGUACUCCCUCUUCCCCACCAUAUCCUAAAUCUCUCGCACACUAUCUCAAGAUAUCAAUCGGUUCUUUUGCAUUAUGCUUUAAAAACCCUUCUCACAUACUCCCUCUUACGCACUAUGCCCUAAAAACUUCUAACAUGCUUCUUGAAGAAAUCUGUCGGUAUCACUCUAAGAACCAUGGUCGUCACCCCUACCACCACUAUUAACGCAGAUGGUCUAGCGAGUCCAGGCAUGGAGUCAUCAGAGCAGGCAACUAAGCCUGAUGCCUUCAAAUGUUCUUGAAUAGGAUAGGAAAAACGACGAUACUGAAGAUACUUGGAGGGAAGCAUAUGGUGGAGCCUGAUAUGAUUAGGGUUCUUGGUAGAUCGGCGUUCCAUGACACCUCUUUGACUUCUUUGGGUGACCUAGCUUAACUUGGUGGAGAGUUGUUACAGAAGGAUUCAAGCAGGCGACUUGGGAUUGGGGUAGGUGGAGGUGAUGAAAUAAAAAAACAUGGUUGGUUUAAAUUGAUUAAUUAGAGGAAACUAGAGGGUAGAGAAAUAAAGCCAAGUUUUGUUCCACAAGUAGCUGGGAAGCAAUGCAUUGUGAAUUUUGAAGAUUGUUGGACAAAUUUACCCCUGCUUCUGGAUUCCCCUGCUGCGAGUCCCAAAUUUUAGGAAAACCCGUUUAAGGGAUUUACUUAUGUCAGGCCUGUAGAUCCUUUCCUACACAGGACUAAAUGAUUCUAAAACUUUGUACCAAGUUUUUUAAAUGUAAUUUUGAGUAUCUAAAUUAUAUGGAUUAUUUUUUAUUGUUAAGCUGUUGCAUUUAUGACAAUUUUAAUUUAGUGAUAUGCUUUAAAGAAGUGUCUACUGAUGAAGCUGUUGAACAAGCUGCUCAUUUGAGAUCUCGGAUGUAUAUUUUAUGGGGGAUUUUGCUUUAUGAGAGAUCUGUUGGUGAAUUCAAAAUGGAUUUGUCAGCAUGGGAAAAAUCUUUAGCUGCUGCUGUUGAAACAUUUGAGCUUGCGGUUUCAUCACCAACAGAUCUUGCAGUAAUUAUAAAGAAUCAUUGCUCAAAUGGAACAGCUUCUGCAGGUCUUGGUUUUAAAAUUGAUGAAAUAGUUCAAGCAUGGAAUGAGAUGUAUGAGGUUAAAAGAUGGCUGACUGGUGUUCCCUCUUUUCGCCUUGAACCACUCUUUAGGCGUCGCGUCUCAAAAUUGCAUUCUCUUAUGGAAGUGGAACAUCGUUGAAUUGGGAUUUCCAUUUUUACCCUUGCUGUAAUUUAGUCAUCGAAUCACUAUUGUUGGAAGCUCUUUCUUCUUUUAAGGGAGUCAUUUAGGAGAUUGCUAGUGCAGUUCCAUUGUGGGGCAGGGUACUCUAUUGCAAAGGUGAUGCAAUUUAUCACCGAACACUGAAAUAGCGGGUGAUGCAGAUGAGGUAAUCCUUUUGACAAACUUCAAAAUCCGAUUUUGCUGCUCAACUUGUUGGAUUCAUGGCAACUUUGUUAGUUGGUGCUCCUGAUCAAGUCCAUUGGAUAUUGGAAUUAGCUAAGUUUGAUUUCAACAUUGUUGCCAGACAUUGGGUUGCAUCUGUACCUGGGAUUUAUUCCCCCAAGCAUCCCUACAUAUCUGAUUCCCUUCAUUAUUUAACUGUAAGUAGUUUGUAUAUAUUUAUUUCAGGGUGAUUAUUGAAGCUUCUGUUGUUGGUAUUAUCCACCUUUAUCGAAUCCUUUUUCAGUAGGGUUGUUAGAGUGCUAGCCAAAAGUUGAACUCUAAUGGUUGCAUUAUUCAAAUUUGUAGGUCUUGUUGAUGUGCAUAGUGUCAAGCAAAGUAGCUCAUGAUGUUGUGAAGGUGGGCAACAAGUUCUUGUAGUUCAACUAUUAUUUGUUGAUGACUUUCAUCUCUUUCACAUUUGAUGUAUUACAUUUGUUUAUCAUUGGAAUGAUUAUUUGUAUGACAUUAACUUUUGUGCAAUGAAUUGUA